AUGCAUAAAGAAACAGACAUUGUUAAAAGGCAAACUUCAAAACCUUUGAGGCUUUGAGCUCCAAAAGAUGCAGAAAUAGACUCCAUCUGUGGAUGAGAAAAGAUACAAAUUCAUAUCGUAACGGGGCACGGACACAGGGCUUAGAAACCAAGAUGGCAGAAAUUCACAGUUGAGACUUAUCUUAGUGGGUAAGAUCGGAGCAGGGAAAAGUGCCAUGGGCAACAGCACCCUUGGAGAGAAAGUGUUUCCUUCUAGCAUUGCCACAACAUCUGCCACCAAGACCUGUAAGAAAGGGAGCAGCAGAUGGCAGGUAAGAGAAAUUUUGUCGUGGAUACACCAGGCAUUUUUGACACUGAGGCACAAGAUGCUGACACCUGCAAGAGUUUACUCGCUACAUCUUCCUGACCUCCCCAGGACCUCACACCCUGCCCCUGAUGGGACAGCUGGUCCCGUACAUGCAGGAAGAGCACAAGGCCAUGUAGAAGAUCCAGUAAAUAUUGGAGUCAGAGCUAGGAGAUAAAUGAUUCUCUUAUUCACCCAGAAAGAUGACUUGGAUGGCAUCAAUUUCCAUGAUUACUUAGAGGAAGCACCCGAAGGCAUCCGAGGGCUGGAGGGCUAGUUCCGUGAUCACUACUGCGUGUACAAGAAUGGUGCGACAGGAGCUGAGCAGGAGUCCCAGAGAAACCAGCUGCUGACCCUGGUCUAGCGCAUUGUGGCGUAGAAUGAAGGACGAUGCUACACUAAGAAGAUGUACCAAAAGGCCAAAGAGGAGAUUCAGAAACAAAUCCAAGAGAUGCAAGAAUUUUAUGGAGCACAGCUAGAGAGACAGAGAGUGCAGGUAAGAGAGGAGUUUGGAGAAAAAAUCAGGAAGCUGGAGGAUAAACUGGAGCGGCAGAAAUGAAAGGAACAAAUGGAGAGAAUUGGCAGGGAAAGAGGCUUUCUAUGCCCUAAAGCAGCAGAACGCCAGAUAUGAAGGUGAGACUCAUUGCAGGAACCUUGAAUUGAUCAUGGAAGCACUGCAGAUAGUUUUUCCUGUUUUCUCUCACCUGUUUAUGUAAGAUUUACCUGAAUGAAAAGAUCUCCCUAUUUCCUGCAUAUUUCCCGCUGGCCCUGCCCACUGUCUGCCACCCCCCCCCAACCCAGCCCCCGCACCCCUGAACUCAUUCACCAACCUUGGAGCACUCUCGCUUCUGUCUCUCAGACUCUCAGGACUAAGGGGUAUAAUCAGAUUCAGUGUUGGAGAUUGGUAGAUGUUUGAUUGACUUAACAGGGGAGGGACGAAUUCUCAAUAUGUGGAACUCCAGAGUAGAAGGUAUAAAGGUGGCCCCAAACUUUGUCUAUUUAUCCCGAGAAAAAUCUGGUUUCUUUCUAGAUUGGUGGAUCUUCUCCCUCUGUUGCUUCUACUCACUUAUUUUUCCUUUAGGACACAGUGAUCACCUUCCCCCUAUGAUUUGUUAGAAAGAUUUGUUCUUCGUGUUGGGUAAUCUAUCAGUAGAGAUGUUUAUAGAAUUCUUUCCAGAUGAAUGGACAUUUAUGUAGUAAGAGUUUUACAGAAGGCUUCAAAUUGUUCCUUAUCAGCUGCCUACUGAAGGACAAAGAGUUGUUUGGAAAAUAGACCUCUAAGAACUCAACUAAGUGAAAUGCCAGAAAGAGCAGUUGAAAGACGGAGAUUCAACACAGAAGAGAACUACUGUUUGCUGUAUUCAGAUGUAUCUACAGCAACUCUUUGACUGACCUCAAUGCAAUAUAUUUGCUGAAUAACCAGUUCUCUUCUUUUCAUGUGAAACUAACUGUUGCCACUUCACCUCCAUCACCUCAGACCUUCAUUACUUACACCGCCUCCCAGUUGAAUUGUUUGCUUGUUAUUAAAAUAAAAAUUUUCUCUUCUCUCAUA